rnacentral:tRNA from 1 species
UGGCCCUGGUUUAACAGGUAAAACACCACAUUGUGACUGUGGAGAACAGGGUUCGAGUCCCGGGGUCAACCA